rnacentral:lncRNA from 1 species
GGUCAUGGAAAUAUGUCAUCUAUGAUCCAUCAUGAAAUUAGUUCCAACUUCCAUAAAAUAGAUAUGUGAUUAGUGGUCAAUACUCAAGACCACUAGAGUAGUUGGAAAAAACAAUAUGCACAGUGGUGCUAUAGUUAUGGCUUGGUAAGCAAGUAACCAGGCUCAUUUCCACAUCGCCUGCUCACACUUAUCCCGCUGAUUUGUUUUCUUUGAAUCAGUGAAGUCCACCUUGGUUUCAUCAUUGGAAGUCGAAAGAUUACAUGGAGCGGCAAGUCAGUUUGGUGUUGUCAAGGCAAU